GUGAACAGGUAUUUAUGCUCUUACCAUCUGUUUGUACAGAUUCUUUCCAGUAUGCCAUAUUCAGGAACUAUUUUAUCUAUGUUGACAUUGCAUUGACAAAUCAGAGAAAUCUUUUAUAUCAAUACCUGGAUCUAUUGUUAGAAUGUUUUCUGAAAUAUGGACAUAUUCUAUGAUCUCACAACAAUGUUGUGGUAUAUGAUUAGGUGCCAAAAUGUGCUUGGAAAAGAAAAUCUGUUUUGGUAGUAUUUCAUAUGAGGCCCCAGGCACAUUAGCUUAGGUUAAUCAUUGCAUUGUGGAAAUAUUCAUGAAACACUGCAUUUUGUCUGAGGUUUUGUCUAUUUUCAUUAUUUGUCUAUUUUCAUUAACAAAUUCUAGAUGGUAAACAGAUUCUAACGUGGUAUUUCUCUACAGAGAUGGUCUUGAAGUCACU
rnacentral:misc_RNA from 1 species